GAAAAGAACUUUGAAAAGAGAGUUAAAUAGUACGUGAAAUUGUUGAAAGGGAAACGAUUGAAGUCAGUCGUACUGGCGAAAAAUCAACUACUCGAGUGAGUACUUGUGGGCGUACGUGAGCUUCACGGCCGCGUUGUUUGCAAUGUUCGUGCUCUUGUGGUGUACUUUUUCGUGUGGUAGGUCAAUGUCGGUUUUGGACGCCAUAAAAUGACCGGUGGAAUGUAGCUUCAAUCUCGUAUUGAAGUGUUAUAGCCUCUGGUAGAUGCGGUAAUCGGGACUGAGGAUUGCAACGAAUACCCUUCGGGCUAUCCAUCUGACCUCUGAAGGUUACUUAGGUGCUGAAAGCGUGCUUACGGUUAUCCAAGUUGACUGUCAAUAGAUUAGAACGUGAUUACAUUCG
rnacentral:rRNA from 1 species